rnacentral:lncRNA from 1 species
UGUGGUUCUUCUAUCAAUGGAGUGGCGGUGGGUGCUGCUGACAACUCCAUAAACCUUGGCUCCCCUGAGCAGAUGCCCAGUGUUCCUCUUUAUUGGCUCAGACGCUUUCAACUGCUGUACUUUUCUCUCUGGCUUCUUGCUAUUGGCUGGGACUCAAGAUGGAAACAUUUAUCAGCUGGAUGUGAGGAGUCCAAGGGCUCCGGUACAAGUCAUCCACAGAUCAGGAGCACCAGUUCUAUCCCUGCUAAGUGUCAGAGAUGGAUUCAUUGCUAGCCAAGGUAGCCACAUGGGAGAAGCAGAUCUACACAUGCUGUCGAGACGGUCUUGUACGACGCUACCAGCUUUCUGACCUCUGACUUCUUGGAAAGAGCAGUCCCGGUUAGUGAAAAGGUUUGACCCUGAUCAACAAUGAGCAGAAACAUCAUCAGUCCUUCCCAAGGACCAUGGCGUUUAAUGUCUUGGGCACCCCUUGGAAAUCACAGAAAGUCAGCUGUACUGGCCGUGUGGAACUCUCAUCCCAAGACCUACUUUGAACUGAGUAAGAAGGUCAUUGUGCCCACUGCAUUUGUUCCAACUUCUCCUUGUAUAAACUCACCCCAGCAACACAGGGCAAGGAUAUAGAUGCUUUUAGUUUGUUCUUAAACCAGUUUUGUUAAAUGUUUACAAGGACCUCAGUACUAAAGCCUGUUCUCUGGAGGAAAUAAAGAAAAUAUGUUUGGAGGUGCCUGAAUAUGAAGAACUUUGUUAAAUACUCUUACUCCAGCAAAAAGUUGGUCAGGACGAUGGAAUUCCUUCCUCAGCACUCCCUGUUGCCUGGCCAUAGAGAAGGCCUGCUUGGCAGUAGCAAUAAAUGUCCUGUAAGCU